CCAACAUGCAGUCUGGUUCCUCCACCAAACGUGAACGUCUCGUACUUGCUGCUAUCAAAUUCACCCAGACAGUAAUAAACUGCAGCAUCUUCAGCCUGGACUCCACUGAUGGUCAGACUGAAGUCAGAGUUUGAUCCACUGCCUGAAAAACGGUUUGGGGUCCCUGAUGC